GGGGUAAUGUCGGAAUGGUAUACGAUGCGGGCUUAAAACCCGCUGGCCUAAAGGCCGUGUGGGUUCGAAUCCCACUUACCCUACCA
rnacentral:tRNA from 1 species